AACGAACGCUGGCGGCAUGCCUAACACAUGCAAGUCGAACGAAACCUUCGGGUCUAGUGGCGCACGGGUGCGUAACGCGUGGGAACCUGCCCUUAGGUUCGGAAUAACUCCCCGAAAGGGGUGCUAAUACCGGAUAAUGUCUUCGGACCAAAGAUUUAUCGCCUUUGGAUGGGCCCGCGUUGGAUUAGCUAGUUGUUAGGGUAAAAGCCUACCAAGGCGCCGAUCCAUAGCUGGUCUGAGAGGAUGAUCAGCCACACUGGGACUGAGACACGGCCCAGACUCCUACGGGAGGCAGCAGUGGGGAAUAUUGGAAAAUGGGCGGAAGGCUGAUCCAGCAAUGCCGGGUGAGUGAUGAAGGCCGUAGGGUUGUAAAGCUCUUUUAACCGGGAUGAUAAUGACAGUACCGGGAGAAUAAGCCCCGGCUAACUCCGUG
rnacentral:rRNA from 1 species